UUGCGGGGGGUUCACAUCAUGU
rnacentral:miRNA from 1 species